AUACGGAGGAUCCGAGCGUUAUCCGGAUUUAUUGGGUUUAAAGGGUGCGCAGGCGGCCAUUUAAGUCAGCGGUUAAAUCGUGGGGCUCAACCCCAUUCUGCCGUUGAUACUGGGUGGCUUGAUUGCGGUCGAGGUUGGCGGAAUUCGUUGUGUAGCGGUGAAAUGCAUAGAUAUGACGAAGAACACCGAUCGCGUAGGCAGCUGACCAGACCGCAAAUGACGCUCAUGCACGAAAGUGCGGGGAUCGAACAGGAUUAGAUACCCUGGUAGGCCGCACAGUAAACGAUGAAUACUUGUUUUCGGCGAUAUAAUGUCGGAGGCAAAGCGAAAGCGAUAAGUAUUCCACCUAGGGAGUACGCCGGCAACGGUGAAACUUAAAGGAAUUGGCGGGG
rnacentral:rRNA from 1 species